rnacentral:rRNA from 1 species
AUUGAACGCUGGCGGCAGGCCUAACACAUGCAAGUCGAACGAGUGGCGGACGGGUGAGUAAUGUCUGGGAAACUGCCCGAUGGAGGGGGAUAACUACUGGAAACGGUAGCUAAUACCGCAUACCAUCGGAUGUGCCCAGUUGGGAUUAGCUAGUAGGUGGGGUAACGGCUCACUUAGGCGACGAACCCUAGCUGGUCGGAGAGGGUGACCAGCGACACUGGAACUUAGACACGGUCCAGAAUCCAUCGGUAGACAGCAAUAGGGAAUAUUUCGCAAUGGGCGCAAGCGUGAUGCAGCCAUACCGCGUGUAUGAAGAAGGCCUUCGGGUUGUAAUGUACUUUCAGCGAGGGGGCGUUACUCACAGAAGAAGCACCGGCUAACUCCGUGCCAGCAGCCGCGGUAAUUC